GUGGGGAAUAUUGGGCAAUGGGGGAAACCCUGACCCAGCAACGCCGCGUGAAGGAAGAAGGUUUUCGGAUCGUAAACUUCUAUCCUUGGUGAAGAUAAUGACGGUAGCCAAGAAGGAAGCCCCGGCUAACUACGUGCCAGCAGCCGCGGUAAUACGUAGGGGGCAAGCGUUGUCCGGAAUGAUUGGGCGUAAAGGGCGCGUAGGCGGCCUGGUAAGUCUGGAGUGAAAGUCCUGCUUUUAAGGUGGGAAUUGCUUUGGAUACUGUCGGGCUUGAGUGCAGGAGAGGUAAGCGGAAUUCCCGGUGUAGCGGUGAAAUGCGUAGAGAUUGGGAGGAACACCAGUGGCGAAGGCGACUUACUGGGCCGUAACUGACGUUGAUGCGCGAAAGCGUGGGGAGCGAACAGGAUUAGAAACCCUUGUAGUCC
rnacentral:rRNA from 1 species